rnacentral:rRNA from 1 species
AGCGAACGCUGGCGGCAGGCUUAACACAUGCAAGUCGAGCGCCCCGCAAGGGGAGCGGCCGACGGGAGAGUAACACGUGGGAACAUACCUUUUGGUUCGGAACAACUGAGGGAAACUUCAGCUAAUACCGGAUAAGCCCUUACGGGGAAAGAUUUAUCGCCGAAAGAUUGGCCCGCGUCUGAUUAGCUAGUUGGUGAGGUAACGGCUCACCAAGGCGACGAUCAGUAGCUGGCCUGAGAGGAUGAUCAGCCUCACUGGGACUGAGACACGGCCCAGACUCCUACGGGAGGCAGCAGUGGGGAAUAUUGGACAAUGGGGGCAACCCUGAUCCAGCCAUGCCGCGUGAGUGAUGAAGGCCUUAGGGUUGUAAAGCUCUUUUGCCCGGGAAGAUAAUGACGGUACCGGGAGAAUAAGCCCCGGCUAACUUCGUG